GGUCAAGCUACAAAGGGCUCACGGAGGAUACCUA
rnacentral:rRNA from 2 species